UCUAGAACUCGAGAUAUUGACUGAACACUGAAGAGUAUUUAGGCUGCAGGACAGAUUAAGACUUCUCUUUUAUUGCUAAGAUGUGAACUUCAAAAUGGCAUAAUUGAGUCUUGGACUCUUCAUGAAUAUUUUAGGCCUAUGUCUUAGCUUUCUAUC
rfam:Populus trichocarpa isolate Nisqually-1 chromosome 2, whole genome shotgun sequence.